ACGGAAGGCAGCAGUGGGGAAUAUUGCACAAUGGGCGAAAGCCUGAUGCAGCGACGCCGCGUGAGCGAAGAAGUAUUUCGGUAUGUAAAGCUCUAUCAGCAGGGAAGAAAAUGACAGUACCUGACUAAGAAGCCCCGGCUAACUACGUGCCAGCAGCCGCGGUAAUACGUAGGGGGCAAGCGUUAUCCGGAUUUACUGGGUGUAAAGGGAGCGUAGGUGGCAUGGCAAGCCAGAAGUGAAAACCCGGGGCUCAACCCCGUGGACUGCUUUUGGAACUGUCAGGCUAGAGUGCAGGAGGGGCAGGCGGAAUUCCUAGUGUAGCGGUGAAAUGCGUAGAUAUUAGGAGGAACACCGGUGGCGAAGGCGGCCUGCUGGACUGUAACUGACACUGAGGCUCGAAAGCGUGGGGAGCAAACAGGAUUAGAUACCCUGGUA
rnacentral:rRNA from 1 species